GAUGAAGAACUUAGCGAAAUGCGAUAAGUAAUGUGAAUUGCAGAAUUCAGUGAAUCAUCGAAUCUUUGAACGCACAUUGCGCCCAUUAGUAUUCUAUUGGGCAUGCCUGUUCGAGCGUCAUUUUGACCACUUAAGCCUGGCUUAGUGUUGGGAAUCUACGUCUGUAGUUCCUUAAAUCUAGUGGCGGAGCCGCAGUGGCCUCUGAGCGUAGUAAUUUUUUCUCGCUUCUGAAAGUACUGUAGUUUUUGCCAUUAAACCCCCAAUUUUUUAAGGUUGACCUCGGAUCAGGUAGGAAUACCCGCUGAACUUAAGCAUAUCAAUAAGCGGAGGA
rnacentral:misc_RNA from 1 species